UGCACCGUGACAGGGGAGCCAAACUGCAGGAACAAGCUUACAUCUGCUGCACUCCCUGAAACUAAUAACAACACAUACAUCAUAUAACCCACAAGUGUUCAUGCUCACAACCGUUCUGGGAGAUAAAUUCACUCACAUAAAAAAUAACUGAAAAAGUUACAGGUGAAAGUUCAGCAAAGUUAAUUGAUGGCAAUAAUGCCAUAACCUAGUGGUACAUUAUCUGACACAAGCAAAACGCAUAUGCACUCUCCAUGUGUUUUUUCGCCCUGUUCUCCUCCUUUAACAGGAUACAGUGCUAUUGCCCUACUGUGUGAACUGUAGGAGCUUCCUACCUUCCCGAGCUUUUCCGUGGAAUAAAAGCUUAAUAACCUUCAAUUGUGGUUGGCCCGCCUGUGCUCACGGAUUAGUCUUGGUAUUUAUUUCCAUGUCGUCUUUGGUUUCAAUGGUUUGAAGUCCGUUGCUGCACAUACCACAAGUAAUGUCAGAACAUAUCUACUGCCGUGAAUUAUAAUGUUGCGGAGGCACAUGCCCAGCUAGAACAUGUAGAGUGCGUAUGUUUCUCUUUUGUUGCAUUAGGAUCGGUCGGUGCUUGAGAAACAAAAAUACUUUGAUCCUCCUCUCUAAUUGAGAAAGUAACCUCUCUUCUACCUCUAAUGUUGCUCGGCAUUCAGAGUACCAUUUCUUUUCUUCAAAAAGGAGAAUGACCAUGCUUUCAGAUCAUCAUAUCUAAUGAUUUGUCACCAAAAUAAUGUCCCUCAGUUGCCAGUCCUGCAAAUUAUUGCGCAAGCUUUAGAUAUGAUGGAAAAACAUGAAACAGUAAGCAUAGGAAUUGUGAAAUGACAUAAAUUAACCUGUGGAACAAUCUGCUCUUGAGGCCAGGCAGCGGAAGAGACCUUCGAUGGGAUCUGGAAUUACGAAAAGCUUUUUGAUGUGAGUAUUUAAGAGGACAGUAAUUGGAAACACUGAGAAAGCUACACUAUCUUCAAUAUCACGAAUCAAUACAGAUUUACAGUAAGUAAAUGUUACCAUGAUAAUUUUGUUUUCCUCCAAUAUAUCACAUGAUGUGAAGCUGGAUAAAGGGAUACAAAAAUUCGGAUUCAUAUCCCCCACACUUAAUUCGGUAUCCUAGGGCGGAAGGUAUCUAUACCCCUAUAUAGUGUGCGAAUAACUUUGAAAGAUGGUCGUUGGAUGAAGCCAAUCCGACGGGGCAGAGAUGGCAAAUCCGAGCACUACUGGCCGUUGGAUAUCAUCUACGUUCCACCAGAUUUUGCCACAUGUACAAUCUAGAAGACUCCAUGGUUGAACUUAAGCAUAAUGCACAAACCUCAAAACACAAGCACUUCUCCUUUGUUCUAGAAUCUUCUGUAUCAUAAUUGCCCAAAUAUUUUUCUACAUGAAUUGCCAUUAGUUGUUUUUACUUUAUGCUUUACAACGCACAAUUCCAUGAAUCUUAAAAUAGAUUAGCUUUUUUUAUGAAAACUAAAUGAUUUUGAAUGAGAUGAACUAUAAGUAUUUAAACGAACAUCUACAUCAUGCAUAUAUGACUCAAAGCUUACAUGCUAUAAUGUUGUAUUUAUUCAUAAUUUGGUUGCCAAAUCUCAUGCGUGCAAUGCACGUGUACCUUACUAGUAUAUAUAGGGGUAGGACUCUCAUACAUCUCUUGUGAUGAAAGCGAAGUGCACUACAAAAUCAUGGGAUAGGUGUGAGCAAGCCAUCCAGGAAACAUUUAUCACAUCAUUUGUAUUGUAUUGUACCACAUGAGCACACUAGAGAAUCAUGCAUGUGACCAUUUAACUUGCAUGUUUAGUUAUCGACCCCUCUCCUAGGAAGUAUAGCUAUGAAGAGAGUGAAUAGACACACUGUGUUUGGUUGGGUGAGAACACAACAAAUGUUCACGAGAUACAUGUUGGAACAACAGAGGGAAACAGGAUUGAGAUUAGCCUAAAUUGUGAAGGAGGACCAUCAACUGAAUUUUGAAUGGUACAACAGAUUUGCCAGAACCAAAUCCUUCGAAGAAAGGAAACUGCUGGAAUGUCUCAGUCUGGUGAUUGGUUGAGCACAAAUCUGGCGCAGCUAUGCCUCACAGAAGUGCAUAUUCUUCCUUUGGCUCUAUCAUCGCCGGUGUCUCCCGUGCGCCGCUCUGCUUCUCCGAAGACACGUCAUCGACAGUGCUGCAUGUCUGUUCUGUGGCAAAUACGAGACCUUGGAGCACCUGUUGUUCAAUUGCGUGCACGCUCGUGCCAUCUAGGCUCCUGGUCUCCGGCUUCCCCCUUGGUUGAAGCCCUGUGUUCCUCCCGGACCGCCCGGUUCCCUGAACCGCCUUGCCUGUGCUUUACUGCCUGCACUACUGUCCUCUGGAAUGUUUGGAAGAGCCAGAACGCCAAGGUCUUCCGUGAUCAAAGUCUCCCCCCGCUCGACAUGGUCGACAACAUUUCUGCAGACGUCUGAUACGUCUCCAACAUAUCUAUAAUUUUUGAUUGCUCCAUGCUAUAUUACCUACUGUUUUAGACAAUAUUGGUCUUUAUUAUCCACUUUUAUAUUAUUUUUGGGACUAACCUAUUAACCGGAGGCCCAACCCAGAAUUGCUGUUUUUGCCUAUUUCAGUGUUUCGAAGAAAAGGAAUAUCAAACGGAGUCGAAACGAAACGAAAUCAACUGGAGAAGUUAUUUUUGGAAGGAAAGCUACCGGAUGGACUUGGACCCCACGUCAGGAGCCAAGGGAGGUGCUCACGAGGGUGGGGGGAGCGCCCACCCCCCUAGGGCACGCCCCCCUGCCUCGUGGGGCCCUCGAAGCUCCACCGACGCACUCCCUGCACCCAUAUAUACCUAUGUACCCUAAAACUUUCAGAAUAGAGAUUAGAUCGGGAGUUCCGCCGCUGCAAGCCUCUGUAGCCACCAAAAGUCAAUCGGGACCCUGUUCCGGCACCCUGCCGGAGGGGGGAACCCUCACCGGUGGCCAUCUUCAUCAUCCCGGCGCUCUCCAUGACGAGGAGGGAGUAGUUCACCCUCGGGGUUGAGGGUAUGUACCAGUAGCUAUGUGUUUGAUCUCUCUCUCUCUCUCUCUCGUGUUCUUGAUUUGGCACGAUCUUGAUAUAUCGCGAGCUUUGCUAUUAUAGUUGGAUCUUAUGUUUCUUCUCCCCCUCUUCUCUCUUGUAAUGGAUUGAGUUUUCCCUUUGAAGUAAUCUUAUCGGAUUAAGUCUUUGAAGAUUUGAGAACACUUGAUGUAUGUCUUGCCGUGCGUAUCUGUGGUGACAAUGGAAUAUCACAUGAUUCACUUGAUGUAUGUUUUGGUGAUCAACUUGCGGGUUCUGCCCAUGAACCUAUGCAUAGGGGUUGGCACACGUUUUCGUCAUGAUUCUCCGGUAGAAACUUUGGGGCACUCUUUGAGGUUCUAUGUGUUGGUUUGAAUGGAUGAAUUAAGAUUGUGUGAUGCAUAUCGUAUAAUCAUGCCCACAGAUACUUGAGGUGAAAAUGGAGUAUCUAGGUGACAUUAGGGUUUUGGUUGAUUUGUGUCUUAAGAUGUUAUUCUAGUACGAACUCUAGGGCUGUUUGUGACACUUAUAUGAAUAUCCCAAUGGAUUGAUUGGAAAGAAUAACUUUGAGGUGGUUUCGUACCCUACCAUAAUCCCUUCGUUUGUUCUCCGCUAUUAGUGACUUUGGAGUGACUCUUUGUUGCAUGUUGAGGGAUAGUUAUAUGAUCCAAUUAUGUUAUUAUUGUUGAGAGAACUUGCACUAGUGAAAGUAUGAACCCUAGGCCUUGUUUCCUACCAUUGCAAUACCAUUUACGCUCACUUUUAUUGCUUGUUACCUUGUUGUUUUUAUAUUUUCAGUUUACAAAAACCUAUAUCUACCAUCCAUAUUGCACUUGUAUCACCAUCUCUUCGCCGAACUAGUGCACCUAUACAAUUUACCAUUGUAUUGGGUGUGUUGGGGACACAAGAGACUUUUUGUUAUUUGGUUGCAGGGUUGCUUGAGAGAGACCAUCUUCAUCCUACGCCUCCCACAGAUUGAUAAACCUUAGGUCAUCCACUUGAGGGAAAUUUGCUACUGUCCUACAAACCUCUGCACUUGGAGGCCCAACAACGCCUACAAGAAGAAGGGUGUGUAGUAGACAUCAAGCUCUUUUCUGGCGCCGUUGUCGGGGAGGUUAGUGCUUGAAGGUAUAUCUUUAGAUCUUGCGAUCGAAUCUUUUUGUUUCUUGUUUUAGCACUAGUGUAGUUUAUAAAAGAAAACUACAAAAAAAUGGAAUUGAGUUUGUCUCAUAUGCUUCACCUUUUUAAUAUCUUUCGUGAGUAUGAUGGAAAAGAAAAUUGUGCCAAAGUGUUAGAAGAAGAAUGCAUUAAAAUGUUUGGCACUAAACCUUUGAAUGAUGAGCAUGAUUGCAAUGUUGUUAGUAUGAACUCCUUGAAUGUACGGUACUAAUGAUGAUUGCACUAGUUAUGACGAAAAUGUCUCCUAUAAACAUGUCAAUUUUUGUGGAGUGGAUUGGGUUUGCAAGUACACACCAAAUAGGGAAGAUAGAUAUUGCAAGAGGCAUAAGUACUUAGAAACUAAAUUGUUGCAAGAAAGUCUUGAUGAUUGCGCUGAAAGAUUCAAUAUUUUUCGCGCCCCUUGUGAACUUUGCAAUGAACAUGGUCAUUUAAAGCUCCAAUGCUAUUUGUUUUAUGAUCAAGUCGUGUCCAAAUAUUGUGAUAAUUUGAUUACCCUUGAGCAUCAUAAAGAACUUAGCCUUCUUUUGGGUUAUAAAUAAAUGAAACGUAUAACUGAGGGUAUUCCAAAAUUUAAUCUUGAUAAAAUUCUUGAUUUUGAUCUAGAGAAGAUUUAUAUGUAUUGUACGGUGAAUUGCAUUAAAAAUCCUUACAUUGACAAUUACAUAAAGAAAAGAAAAAAAUAGAAGAAUAAGAGAAUGCUAAUGAAAGGGAAGAGACUUCCCAAUAUCCUCCUAUUAUUUCUUAUGAUAAAUCAGGUAACGAGAAGGAGCCUUCUAUUCAACCAAUCUCAUUAUUAAGGAGCUCCAAAAGGAGGAUUGAACCCACACAUGAUGUGGUGAAGAAGAAGAAAAGAAAAAGGAAGAGAGGUAAAAUGGUAUCUCUCCUAAAUAAGAUUGCUCCUAUUAUUGUUGUGCCUCAUGAAAAUGAAUCAAAAAUAAUUGUGGGAGAUGAUGCAUUUGAUGAUGAUCUAGUUAUGCCUAUUGCUUGUUGUGAUGAUUAUGAUUGGGAAGAUAAUGAUACUCCUUAUGAUCUUGAAAAUCUUUUUGGCACUUGCUUGGAAGAAUAUAAUAAUUGCUAUACUAUUGGUGUUAUCCAUACUAUUAAUGAUGAGAGUGAUUAUGCUUAUGAUAUGAAAAGGCCCAAGCUUGGGGAAGCUAUGUUUGAUGAAGAUGAUGUUUUUGAGAAUAUAUUUGCUGCUAUUAAUGUUUGUCCCAAGCUUGGGGAUGCUACGUUUAAUAAUGAUGAUAUUUUUAGCCUCUCAAGUUUUGAUAUGCAAAGUUGUUAUGAUGAUAGCAUGCCUUCUACCUAUGAUGAUUAUAUUGAUGAAAGUGGAUUUGGAAGAGUGUCAACUUUAGGAAGUAAUGAUCCCACUAUUUUGGAGUAUGUUGAAUCUUAUAAUAUUUAUGAAAGUGGAUUUGGAGAGGUCAUGACUUUAUUUAGUGAUGUAUCGACUAUUUCAGAAGAGGUUUCAAUCGAUUAUGAUGAGAACAAAGUUGCUACCUAUGAUGAUUAUUGUGAUGAAACUUAUGCUAUAAAAAAUAGUGAUGAUUAUAUUUAUAAAACUUGUCAUGAUUAUGAUUACCCUUUUUCUGAACAUUACUCUUUUAAUGUGGAAACAAUUUAUAGUAUUCAAGUCUCUUAUAAUACUCCCACUAUUCCGAAUGAGAAGAAAUUUGCUUAUGUGGAGAGUAAUAAAAUUUCUAUGCUAAUAGAUCAUGAAAAGGAUGCUUUAGGUGCUGGCUAUAUUGUUGAAUUCAUUCAUGAUUCUACUGAAAAUUAUUAUGAAAGAGGAUCAUAUGCUUCUACAUAUUGCAAUAAUAUCAAGUUUUCUCUCUAUGUGCUUAAAAUCUUGAAGUUAUGCUUGUUUUACCUUCCUAUGCAAGUUGAUUCUUGUUCCCAUAAGUUGUUUGCUCACAAAAUCCCUAUGCAUAGGAAGUGGGUUAGACUUAAAUGUGCUAGUCAUAUUCUUCAUGAUGCUCCCUUUAUAUUUCAAUUCUUAUCUUUUUGUGAGCAUCAUUGAAAUCAUCAUGCCUAGCUACGGGCGUUAAACGAUAGCGCUGGUUGGGAGGCAACCCAUCUUUAUUUUAGUUUCUUGCUUUUUAGUUCUGUUUAGGAAUAAAUAAUCCAUCUAGCUUCUGUUUAGAUGUGGUUUUGUGUUUCAAUUAGUGUUUGUGCCAAGUAGAACCUUUGGGAAGACUUGAGUGAAGUCUUUAUGAUCAUGCUGUAAAAAAUAGAAACUUUAGCGCUCACGAGAUUAGCUAAAACGUUUUACUGGAGAGCGCUAUUUAGUUGAUUCUUUUUGCAGAUGAUUACUAGACAAAUUCCUCAGGUCCACCAAUUUAUUUUAGAAUUUUUGGAGUUCCAUAAGUUUGCGUUAGUUAUAGAUUACUACAGACUGUUAUGUUUUUGACAUAUUCUGUUUUCAUUGUGUUGCUUGCUUAUUUUGAUGAAUCUAUGGCUAGUAAAAUAGUUUAUAAACCAUAAAGAAGUUGGAAUACAGUAGGUUUAACACCAAUAUAAAUAAAGAAUGAGUUCAUUACAGUACGUUGAAGUGAUGUUUUGUUUUCUUUCACUAACGGAGCUUACGAGUUUUCUGUUAAGUUUUGUGUUGUGAAGUUUUCAAGUUUUGGGUAAUGAUUCGAUGGACUAUGGAAUAAGGAAUGGCAAGAGUCUAAGCUUGGGGAUGCCCCGGAAGGCAUCCCCUCUUUCGUCUUCGUUCAUCGGUAACUUUACUUGGAGCUAUAUUUUUAUUCACCACAUGAUAUGUGUUUUGCUUGGAGCGUCAUUUUAUUUCCGUUAGUUUUGCUUGCUGUUUAAAUAAAAUACCAAGAUCUGAAAUUCUUAAAUGUUAGGGAGUCUUCACAUAGUUGCAUAAUUAUUCGACUACUCAUUGAUCUUCACUUAUAUCUUUCGGAGUAGUUUGUUGUUUGCUCUAGUGCUUCAUUUAUAUCUUUUAGAGCAUGGUGGUAGUUUUAUUUUGAAGAAAUAGAUGAACUCUCAUGCUUCACUUAUAUUAUUUUGAGAGUCUUAAAUAUCAUGGUAAUUUGCUUAAAUAAUCCUAAUAUGCUAAGCAUACAAGAUUUGUAGAAUUCUUAUGAGUGUGUUGAAUACUAAGAAAAGUUCAAUGCUUGAUAAUUGUUUUGAGAUAUGAAGAUGGUGAUAUUAGAGUCAUGCUAGUUGAGUAGUUGUGAAUUUGAGAAAUACUUGUGUUAAAGUUUGUGAUUUCCGUAGCAUGCACGUAUGGUGAACAGUUAUGUGAUGAAGUCGAAGCAUGAUUUAUUUAUUGAUUGUCUUCCUUAUGAGUGGCGGCCGGGAACGAGCGAUGGUCUUUUCCUACUAAUCUAUCCCCCUAGAAGCAUGCGCGUAAUACUUUGCUUUGAUAACUUCUAGAUUUUUGCAAUGAGUAUAUGAGUUCUUUAUGACUAAUGUUGAGUCCAUGGAUUAUACACACUUUCCUUCCUUCCACCAUUGCUAACCUCUCUAAUACCGCGCACUUUUCGCCGUUAUCAUACACCCACCAUAUACCUUCCUGAAAACAGCCACCAGACCUACCUAUCAUGGCAUUUUCAUAGCCAUUCCGAGAUAUAUUGCCAUGCAACUUUCCACCGUUUCAUUUAUUAUGACACGCUCCAUCAUUGUCAUAUUGCUAGCAUGAUCAUGUAGUUGACAUCGUAUUUGUGGCAAAGCCACUAUUCAUAAUUCUUUCAUACAUGUCACUUUUGAUUCAUUGCAUAUCCCGGCACACCGCCGGAGGCAUUCAUAUAGAGUCAUAUUGUUGUUCUAAGUAUUGAGUUGUAAUUCUUGAGUUGUAAGAAAAAUAAAAGUGUGAUGAUCAUCAUUAUUAGAUCAUUGUCCCAGUGAGGAAAGGAUGAUGGAGACUAUGAUUCCCCCACAAGUCGGGAUGAGACUCCGAACGAAAAAAAAGAAAAAAAAAGAAAAAAGAGGCCUAAAAAAGAGAAAAGGCCCGAAAAAAUGAGAGAAAAAGAGAGAAGGGGCAAUACUACUAUCCUUUUACCGCACUUGUGCUUCAAAGUAGCACCAUGAUCUUCAUGAUAAAGAGUCUCCUAUGAUAUCACUUUCAUAUACUAGUGGGAUUUUUUAUUAUAGAAUUUGGCUUGUAUAUUCCAAUGAUGGGCUUCCUCAAAAUGCCCUAGGUCUUCGUGAGCAAGCGAGUUGGAUGCACACCCACUUAAUUUCUUUUGUUAAGCUUUCAAACACUUAUAGCUCUAGUGCAUCCGUUGCAUGGCAAUCCCUACUCACUCACAUUGAUAUCUAUUGAUGGGCAUCUCCAUAGCCCGUUGAUACGCCAAGUUAUGUGAGACUAUCUUCUCCCUUUUUGUCUUCUCCACAAUCACCAUAUUCCACAUAUAGUGCUAUAUCCAUAGCUCACGCUCAUGUAUUGCGUGAAGAUUGAAAAUUUUGAGAAUGUCAAAAGUAUGAAACAAUUGCUUGGCUUGUCAUCGGGGUUGUGCAUGAUUUAAAUACUUUGUGUAGUGAAGAUAGAGCAUAGCCAGACUAUAUGAUUUUAUAGGGAUAACUUUCUUUGGCCAUGUUAUUUUGAGAAGACAUAAUUGCUUUGUUAGUAUGCUUGAAGUAUUAUUAUUUUUAUGUCAAUAUGAACUUUUGUCUUGAAUCAUUCGGAUCUGAAUAUUCGUACCAUAAUUAAGAAGAAUUACAUUGAAAUUAUGCCAACUAGCAUUCCACAUCAAAAAUUAUCUUUUUUUAUCAUUUACCUACUCGAGGACGAGCAGGAAUUAAGCUUGGGGAUGCUUGAUACGUCUCCAACGUAUCCAUAAUUUUUGAUUGCUCCAUGCUAUAUUAUCUACUGUUUUAGACAAUAUUGGGAUUUAUUAUCCACUUUUAUAUUAUUUUUGGGACUAACCUAUUAACCGGAGGCCCAGCCCAGAAUUGCUGGGUUUUUUUUGCCUAUUUCAGUGUUUUGAAGAAAAGGAAUAUUAAACGGAGUCGAAACGAAACGAAAUCAACUGGAAAAAUUAUUUUUGGAUGGAAAGCUACCGGAUGGACUUGGACCCCACGUUAGGAGCCAAGGGAGGUGCUCACGAGGGUGGGGGGGGGGGGGCGCCCACCCCCCUAGGGCGCGCCCCCUGCCUCGUGGGCCCCCCGAAGCUCCACCGACGUACUCCCUGCAUCCAUAUAUACCUACGUACCCUAAAACUUCCAGAACAGAGAUUAAAUCGGGAGUUCCGCCGCUGCAAGCCUCUGUAGCCACCAAAAGUCAAUCGGGACCCUGUUCCGGCACCCUGCCGGAGGGGGGAACCCUCACCGGUGGCCAUCUUCAUCAUCCCGACGCUCUCCAUGACGAGGAGGGAGUAGUUCACCCUCGGGGUUAAGGGUAUGUACCAGUAGCUAUGUGUUUGAUCUCUCUCUCUCUCUAUCUCUCUCUCGUGUUCUUGAUUUGGCACGAUCUUGAUGUAUCGCGAGCUUUGCUAUUAUAGUUGGAUCUUAUGUUUCUUCUCCCCCUCUUCUCUCUUGUAAUGGAUUGAGUUUUCCCUUUGAAGUAAUCUUAUCGAAUUAAGUCUUUGAAGAUUUGAGAACACUUGAUGUAUGUCUUGCCGUGCGUAUCUGUGGUGACAAUGGGAUAUCACAUGAUUCACUUGAUGUAUGUUUUGGUGAUCAACUUGCGGGUUCUGCCCAUGAACCUAUGCAUAGGGGUUGGCACACGUUUUCGUCGUGAUUCUCCGGUAGAAACUUUGGGGCACUCUUUGAGGUUCUAUGUGUUGGUUUGAAUGGAUGAAUUGAGAUUGUGUGAUGCAUAUCGUAUAAUCAUGCCCACAGAUACUUGAGGUGACAAUGGAGUAUCUAGGUGACAUUAGGGUUUUGGUUGAUUUGUGUCUUAAGAUGUUAUUCUAGUACGAACUCUAGGGCUGUUUGUGACACUUAUAUGAAUAUCCCAAUGGAUUGAUUGGAAAGAAUAACUUUGAGGUGGUUUCGUACCCUACCAUAAUCCCUUCGUUUGUUCUCCGCUAUUAGUGACUUUGGAGUGACUCUUUGUUGCAUGUUGAGGGAUAGUUAUAUGAUCCAAUUAUGUUAUUAUUGUUGAGAGAACUUGCACUAGUGAAAGUAUGAACCCUAGGUCUUGUUUCCUAUCAUUGCAAUACCGUUUACGCUCACUUUUAUCGCUUGUUACCUUGUUGUUUUUAUAUUUUCGGUUUACAAAACCUAUAUCUACCAUCUAUAUUGCACUUGUAUCACCAUCUCUUCGCCGAACUAGUACACCUAUACAAUUUACCAUUGUAUUGGAUGUGUUGGGGACACAAGAGACUCUUUGUUAUUUGGUUGCAGGGUUGCUUGAGAGAGACCAUCUUCAUCCUACGCCUCCCACGGAUUGAUAAACUUAGGUCAUCCACUUGAGGAAAUUUGCUACUGUCCUACAAACCUCUGCAUUUGGAGGCCCAACAACGCCUACAAGAAGAAGGUUGUGUAGUAGACAUCAACGUCUCCCUCAAGCGUUGCUGCCCCUCUGCACAGAUGUAAAAAAAACCGAUUCCUGGUUGUUUUGGUUGAUGGUUAAUGAAAAUUCAGGUGGGCAGGGCUUCUGGCCGUUGGUGAUGCUUCAGCAAGAAAAUGUACUUCUCGAAUGGACACAAAGUCAGUUCUAUCUACAGAUAUCAAAACAACAUCAUUCGAUUGCUAAAACAGCUCAUGAAAGAUGCCACCAUCGAAUUCAAAUCUACAACAGCGAAGGAAAACUAUAUUUAUCUACAUAUUCAGUUUCUUCCUCACCUCAUCUUACCACCAAACCUUCCUCAUCCAGUGACGCCAAAAAGGCUUUCCUUCUGCGGCUGGACAUGGACACGGUCUGACAUUAACUAGCUGCUAGUACAGGCAUUGCAGAGAGACAGGGAUCAAGGGUGACCGUCUCCAGCGGCAGCUUGCCACGGUGAUGCAGAAGCAUUACAAAUAAUAAUACUAUAGAAGCAGAGCACUAAGUAGCAUUAACUAGCUGCUAGUACAGGCAUUACAGAGAGACAGGGAUCAAGGGACGGGCUUUGUGGAGCAUGACAAACAAUAAUACUAUAGAAGCAGAGCACUGAGUAGCUACAGGAGACUGGAACUUGGCAAUAUGUGACCACCAAGCUGUUACACGCACUAGAAUUUUUGUCCAUUACUCACACUAAUAGAACGCCCGUGCGUUGCCACGGGCUUUAAAAAAUUUACUUGGUG
rnacentral:lncRNA from 1 species